UACAGAGGGGGCAAGCGUUGUUCGGAAUUACUGGGCGUAAAGGGCGCGUAGGCGGCCUUCUAAGUCGAACGUGAAAUCCCCGGGCUCAACCCGGGAACUGCGUCCGAUACUGGAAGGCUUGAAUCCGGGAGAGGGAUGCGGAAUUCCAGGUGUAGCGGUGAAAUGCGUAGAUAUCAAGAGGAACACCUGAGGUGAAGACGGGUUGCUGGGCUGACACUGACGCUGAGGCGCGAAAGCCAGGGGAGCAAACGGG
rnacentral:rRNA from 1 species